rnacentral:lncRNA from 1 species
CCCUACCAGUGAUCCUGACUUCAGGAUAUUCUGGUUCAUCUUUGUGUGACUUCUCACUAUGCCAUUUUGAUUUCUAGUUGUCUUGAAGCAGUAGAUGAUUCUGCAGUUAGUGAACCUUAAAAAUUCCCAUUCACUUCACAUUUAGAGACAUUCAACUUAUGAUGCUACACUUCCCGGAUCCUUAUCCCACCAAUAUUCUGUAAAGUUCAUGUACGUUUUUACAAUAGAAAGAGUCCAGUUGCACAUUUGGAAUGCAAAGUUUUACCCACCUCAAAGUAUUGUGAAAGAAGAGGUUACCGAUCUAAAUUCUUAGUCAAAAGUUUCCAAAUCAAUGGGAAUUACUUGUUCUGGAACUAUAACUUUUGGAGCCAAGAGCCAUGAGAAAUGGCCACUUGACUGGCUUUAUAUUGAAGGUAUACCAUAUUUAAAGGUUCAUUUUGGGACCUUGGAUUACACAUCAUUGCGUGUUAUGGAGAUUUGCAUUCAGUUCAAGUUUUUUAUAUCAGGAACACCAAAAUAAGUACACACUGGAAACCAAAUUUAUUUGGAUUAUUAUAUCUGGAAUUUUAAAGCUCCCACUCCAGUAACAUAUGGGCCGCUCUUACUA